rnacentral:rRNA from 1 species
CGAAUGCUUGCAUUCACCGAAAGAAGCUUAGUGGCGAACGGGUGAGUAACACGUAGGCAACCUGCCCAAAGAGGGGGAUAACACUUGGAAACAGGUGCUAAUACCGCAUAACCAUGAACACCGCAUGAUGUUCAUGUAAAAGACGGCUUUUGCUGUCACUUUUGGAUGGGCUGCGGCGUAUUAACUUGUUGGUGGGGUAACGGCCUACCAAGGUGAUGAUACGUAGCCGAACUGAGAGGUUGAUCGGCCACAUUGGGACUGAGACACGGCCCAAACUCCUACGGGAGGCAGCAGUAGGGAAUCUUCCACAAUGGACGAAAGUCUGAUGGAGCAACGCCGCGUGAAUGAAGAAGGCCUUCGGGUCGUAAAAUUCUGUUGUCAGAGAAGAACGUGUGUGAGAGUAACUGUUCACGUAUUGACGGUACCUGACCAGAAAGCCACGGCUAACUACGUGCCAGCAGCCGCGGUAAUACGUAGGUGGCAAGCGUUGUCCGGAUUUAUUGGGCGUAAAGGGAACGCAGGCGGUCUUUUAAGUCUGAUGUGAAAGCCUUCGGCUUAACCGAAGUAGUGCAUUGGAAACUGGAAGACUUGAGUGCAGAAGAGGAGAGUGGAACUCCAUGUGUAGCGGUGAAAUGCGUAGAUAUAUGGAAGAACACCAGUGGCGAAAGCGGCUCUCUGGUCUGUAACUGACGCUGAGGUUCGAAAGCGUGGGUAGCAAACAGGAUUAGAUACCCUGGUAGUCCACGCCGUAAACGAUGAGUGCUAAGUGUUGGAGGGUUUCCGCCCUUCAGUGCUGCAGCUAACGCAUUAAGCACUCCGCCUGGGGAGUACGGUCGCAAGACU